rnacentral:rRNA from 1 species
CCUACGGGUGGCAGCAGUGAGGAAUAUUGGUCAAUGGGCGCGAGCCUGAACCAGCCAAGUAGCGUGAAGGAUGACUGCCCUACGGGUUGUAAACCUCUUUUAUCAAGGAAUAACGUGAGGCCCUUUUGCCUUUUUGUAUGUACUUUAUGAAAAAGGAUCGGCUAACUCCGUGCCAGCAGCCGCGGUAAUACGGAGGAUCCGAGCGUUAUCCGGAUUUAUUGGGUUUAAAGGGCGCGUAGGCGGGUUGUUAAGUCAGUUGUGAAAGUUGGGGGCUCAACCGUAAAAUUGCAAUUGAUACUGGCAGUCUUGAGUACAGUAGAGGUAGGCGGAAUGCGUGGUGUAGCGGUGAAAUGCUUAGAUAUCACGAAGAACUCCGAUUGCGAAGGCAGCUUACUAAACCGCCACUGACAUUGAGGCUCGAAAGUGUGGGGAUCAAACAGGAUUAGAUACCCGAGUAGUC